AAAUUUUAUUGAUAAAUACUUUGCUUGCAUUUUUAGAUAUAUAAUUUUUCUUUUAUACAGCAGAGACUCCAUGAAUCAAUUUGAUAAGUUAUACCAAGAGAGCUAAUUAUCUCACUUCUCAUUAUAAAGUUGGAUAGGUAGUUGGAAAGACUCAAACUCAAGAUCUUUCCAUUCCCUACACCUUAAAGAUGAAGGAAAACUAAUCUGGAUAGGCUACCCAGAUUGAUGAAUACAUACUUAAUCUUUCAUUGCCCUAAUACUUGAAUCAGGAUAUCUCUUACAUUUCCUAACAAAUUAAUUGACAAAAGCGCAGCGUUUUCUGAUUUCCCCUUGGUUACCAGUGAGGACUCCAACGGAACCCAUUUUGAUCAUUGAAGCACCGAAAUCUUGAGCGAAAGUCCAUCCAUGGGUGACAGAUUGAAGUUGGACGUAGGUUCUGGUUUGUACAUCAUCAAGAAGAGCAGCAUCAGAUCGUAAGAGCCCUCUUCUUUUGGCAACAUUACUGUAGUAACCUUCAUCGAAUGUUCUGAAGCUUCCAGGGUCCAUUUCUACCGUUUUCAAGUUGUCUCCUCCCAGCUUGCACUUUUCCUUCAACGCCGAUGCGUAUUUGGGAUCCAGUGAUGGGUCAGUGUCGCCUUUACCUGUGAAAUUGUAUAAGCGAUCUGAGAUUGAAGAGCAAUGCCCAAUCCCAAUUGUGUGUCCUCCUGAUAGAACCACAAGGUCCUUAACGCUUAAACCCUUGGCAGAGAAAUCUUUUAUGAGCUCGGUUAUGUUAGCAGUAAAAGAUGGUAAUUGUUCUAAAGCGUCGGUGUCAAUUGAGACUCUUCCAUCUCUACGUCCAGUAGGAACAUCCCAAGAUGGUCCUCCAAUCAUGAAAACUGCAUCUCGAGCUACUAAUGCUAAGAUAUCAGCACAAGAAACCACACCAGGACACUUUUUUUCUAGUUCAGAUUUUACAGCAUCAAUUACGUGGAACCCUCUUAAGCUUAGGUUUGGGAUUGCUUCUUUCUCGGCUUUAUAACCCUGGAUAGAAUUUAAUAGCACAGAACCAUCACAUCCCCUAACAAAACAAUCAUGGAAAUGCAUUCUCAACAAAGAAGGAGCAAGAGUGGGGUCUCUAGAAAUGUAUUUGUAAAGAACCGCAUACGCAAUUUGUUCUGCAUUAGGGCAAGUACCACUGUAGAACCCAAGCUGCAAACCACAUGCAUUAGUGACAUCUAAGAAUAAAAGGAGGAGAAUAAAUUUAGAAAACAAAACCGAAAUAAGCUUUUCCAUGGCCAUGAAUUGUCUCUGGAAAAGUUAAUUUGUUUGAAAUGCAAGAAUCCAUGCCUACUUUUAUAGUCGUUGCAUGUUGGUGAUAAUCUAGAAUGGUGUCUAAAACACGCUUAGCUUAAUUACUUCGAUUCAAUAUUUUAAAUUGACAAGUGAAUAAAAGAAAAUCACAAAAAAUUCAACUAAAAUAUUAUAUGAUUAGUG
rnacentral:misc_RNA from 1 species